rnacentral:rRNA from 1 species
UCCGGUUGAUCCUGCCAGAGGCCGCUGCUAUCCGGCUGGGACUAAGCCAUGCUAGUCUAGGGGCUUGUACUCCUUCGGGGGUGCAAGCACCGGCGGACGGCUCAGUAACACGUGGACAACCUGCCCUCGGGUGGGGGAUAACCCCGGGAAACUGGGGCUAAUCCCCCAUAGGUGAUGGGUGCUGGAAUGCCCCAUCUCCGAAAGCGCUUAGCGCCCGAGGAUGGGUCUGCGGCGGAUUAGGUAGUUGGUGGGGUAACGGCCCACCAAGCCUAAGAUCCGUACGGGCUGUGGGAGCAGGAGCCCGGAGAUGGACCCUGAGACAAGGGUCCAGGCCCUACGGGGCGCAGCAGGCGCGAAACCUCCGCAAUGCGGGAAACCGCGACGGGGUUAGCCGGAGUGCCCGUGCAUUGCACGGGCUGUCGGGGUGCCUAAACAGCACCCCAUAGCAAGGGCCGGGCAAGGCCGGUGGCAGCCGCCGCGGUAAGACCGGCGGCCCGAGUGGCGGCCACUCUUAUUGGGCCUAAAGCGUCCGUAGCCGGCCCAGUAAGUCCCCCGGGAAAUCUGGUCGCUUAACGAUCAGACUUCCGGGGGAUACUGCUGGGCUAGGGACCGGGAGAGGCCGAGGGUAUUCCCGGGGUAGGGGUGAAAUCCUGUAAUCCCGGGAGGACCACC